rnacentral:rRNA from 1 species
AGUGAACGCUGGCGGUAGGCCUAACACAUGCAAGUCGAACGGCAGCACAGUAAGAGCUUGCUCUUACGGGUGGCGAGUGGCGGACGGGUGAGGAAUACAUCGGAAUCUACUUUUUCGUGGGGGAUAACGUAGGGAAACUUACGCUAAUACCGCAUACGACCUACGGGUGAAAGCAGUGGAUCUUCGGACCUUGCGCGAUUGAAUGAGCCGAUGUCGGAUUAGCUAGUUGGCGGGGUAAAGGCCCACCAAGGCGACGAUCCGUAGCUGGUCUGAGAGGAUGAUCAGCCACACUGGAACUGAGACACGGUCCAGACUCCUACGGGAGGCAGCAGUGGGGAAUCUUGGACAAUGGGCGCAAGCCUGAUGCAGCCAUGCCGCGUGGGUGAAGAAGGCCUUCGGGUUGUAAAGCCCUUUUGUUGGGAAAGAAAAGCAGCAGGUUAAUACCCGGCUGUUCUGACGGUACCCAAAGAAUAAGCACCGGCUAACUUCGUG